rnacentral:misc_RNA from 1 species
UUUCCGUAGGUGAACCUGCGGAAGGAUCAUUACUUUCAGUACUUGGGGGCUAUUAGCCUAUAUCACUAUAGCUUGCCCCUACCUGAACCCUUGUCUUUUGCGUACCUAUGUUUCCUCGGUGGGCUUGCCUGCCGACUGGACAAACUUAUAACCUUUUUAAUUUUCAAUCAGCGUCUGAAUAAACAUAAUAAUUACAACUUUCAACAACGGAUCUCUUGGUUCUG